ACCUUCAGCUCAAACAAUAGGGACUGAAAUAAUUUCUGCCUUAAGAGCUUUCCUGCGACUGGAACACCAGGGUUCAGAGGCUGGAGGUUCACUCAUCUGUUGCUCUAGACAUGCUAAUGAAAUGCUGAUUAAGCUACAAAAUAGACUCGCCGAAAUUUCCUGAAGGUGUGAGACCUGAGAAGAUGCGAGGUACAGCAUAGCCAACCCUGUGACUUCACUGAAUAAUUCCACAGAGUAUAAAGUGUGACAGCACCUCUCUGCACAUGACAGAAGAUUACAGCUAAAAGCGAGGUGAAGGGACGAUUU